UUUACAUAGUAACAGUUCAGUCAAUCAUUCUGUAGUAACCGCCUACUAUGCACUUGCAGAUGUUAUUAUCUAGGAAAUGGCACAAGAUUCGCCGAGGAAAAUGUCUAAAUCUUAUACAUGUAGAGUUUUCUAACAGUUUGCAAAAUACAUGUGACGGAAUUAACGAGUAAUUUUAACUCAAUAAAUGAUGUUUUAUAUGAUACUACGUUUUGGAUUCACUGGGAGAAGCCAAUAAAAAAGGUUGAUGUUGAACCUUCAUAUAUGGUUACAUGACAGGAUGGGAAAAGAUCUGGUAGACUGGCAAAAGAAGAAUGUGAAUAUCUAACUGACUAUGAGGAAUCAUGAACUAUUUUCUCUAAAAGAGGAAUAACGUUAUGCUUAAUUGUUUAACCAUUUGCCAAUUAAAGGACAGAAACAUGUAGAUACUUAAUAAUAUUACAACAAUAUAUUGUUGAGUAAGAUCAAAGCUCAUAUGAAAUAAAUAUAUAUUAAACUUUAUUUCACAUAGACAUGCAAACAUUUUCAUAAAGCGAUCAUUCAUAACAUGUUUUGUUUCAUCUUG